GCUCGACCUGUCCCUGCCGCACAAGCAUUGGACAGAAACUGCCACCUGCCAUUGCGUGAUGUGUCUGAUUAGAUCGGAAGUCCGUUCUUAUUUAAACCACGCUCAUAAAUGGUCAAAGGGGGAGUUCUAUUACGUCUUGUGUACCCUCUGCGGUGAGAAUAUCAACUGGCUGCAUAUUACCACGCAUAUGAAGAGGAUUCACGCGAAAAAGUUUUACCUGAAAUGCCGAGGCUGCUUCGCUCCUUUGUCUGGACCUUUUUAUAAAGGUGAUGUUGCACAUGCAACUGAGUGCAACGCUCGGGAGUGUCCUCUGGCUUCUGGACCGCUGGCCACGAGGGGGCGAGUGAUUCCACCGCAUACAAUUUUUGAAAUCCCGCCACUGAACAUCCCGGCGACGGACGACCUGAUCGAGCUGGUGACAUACGAGACUGUGAAGGAUGGGAGUACUCAGCU